GGUCACACGGCGAAGCUGAACGACGGCUGCUGGCAUCCUAAAAUCAAAGAGGAGUUUCUGACCUGCUCCAGUGACGGGACGGUGCGGGAGUGGGACUUGAACUCGGAGAAGCAGCACAAGUCAGUGUUCAAGCCUCGAUCGCUGCAGGGCAAGAGAGUGACCCCCACCUGACGGGAAACUGAUCGCCGCCGGCUGCCAGGACGGCUCCAUCCAGAUCUGGGACAGGAACCUGAGCAUGGAAACCGUAUGGACCGCAGACGGUGGCUAUGAAAGCUCUCCAUGUGUCUUAUGAGAGUAUUAAUGGAGCGCAGGUCUCACCUUCGGCUCAUCCAGACGUGUUGAAAGGUCCUCCGGAUCCGACACGUCCAGCCUCACUUUCUCCUACGACGGAGUAACUCUAGCAUCAUGAGGAGGAGACGACACUCUGCACAACUUCAGGAAACCUCUCGCUGCUGUACACUGGCUUGACCUCCUUCUUUCCAAUGAUAGUCCGGAUGAUAAACUGCUGCUGACGGGAACCUCGGUCAAGAAGGACGAAGGCAACGGGAAGCUGCUGUUCUUUGAGCGGGAAUCUCUGCGGGAGGUCUAUGAGAUUGAAGUCGCCGAUGCGGUGCGUCUGACACACACUUCUGUGUUGCUCUCAUGAGCGUGGUCGGCUGUCUUUGGCAUCCCAAGCUGAAUCAGA